CCCAGAAUGUUGUAAUAGUUAGAGUGUUGGACUACAACUCUGGUGACCAGGGUUCGAAUCCCGGUCAUGGAA